AGUGAACGCUGGCGGUAGGCCUAACACAUGCAAGUCGAACGGCAGCACAGGAGAGCUUGCUCUCUGGGUGGCGAGUGGCGGACGGGUGAGGAAUACAUCGGAAUCUACUCUGUCGUGGGGGAUAACGUAGGGAAACUUACGCUAAUAUCGCAUACGACCUACGGGUGAAAGCAGGGGACCUUCGGGCCUUGCGCGAUUGAAUGAGCCGAUGUCGGAUUAGCUAGUUGGCGGGGGAAAGGCCCACCAAGGCGACGAUCCGUAGAUGGUCUGAGAGGAUGAUCAGCCACACUGGAACUAAGACACGGUCCAGACUCCUACGGGAGGCAGCAGUGGGGAAUAUUGGACAAUGGGCGCAAGCCUGAUCCAGCCAUACCGCGUGGGUGAAGAAGGCCUUCGGGUUGUAAAGCCCUUUUGUUGGGAAAGAAAUCCAGCUGGCUAAUACCCGGUUGGGAUGACGGUACCCAAAGAAUAAGCACCGGCUAACUUCGUGCCAGCCGCCGCCGUAA
rnacentral:rRNA from 1 species